rnacentral:rRNA from 1 species
UGGGGAAUUUUGCGCAAUGGGGGAAACCCUGACGCAGCAACGCCGCGUGGAGGAUGAAAUCCCUUGGGAUGUAAACUCCUUUCGAUAGGGAAGAUAAUGACGGUACCUAGAGAAGAAGCCCCGGCUAACUUCGUGCCAGCAGCCGCGGUAAUACGAGGGGGGCAAGCGUUGUUCGGAAUUAUUGGGCGUAAAGGGUGCGUAGGCGGUUUGAUAAGUUUGGUGUGAAAUCUCUGGGCUCAACCCAGAGUCUGCAUCGAAAACUGUCGGGCUUGAGUAUGGGAGAGGUGAGUGGAAUUUCCGGUGUAGCGGUGAAAUGCGUAGAUAUCGGAAGGAACACCUGUGGCGAAAGCGGCUCACUGGACCAUUACUGACGCUGAUGCACGAAAGCUAGGGGAGCAAA